AGAGUUUGAUCCUGGCUCAGAGCGAACGCUGGCGGCGUGCUUAACACAUGCAAGUCGAGCGCUCAUAUCUAUGUAGGAGCGGCAGACAGGGGAGUAACACGUGGGAACGUACCCUUCGGUUCCAAAUAACCCAGGGAAACUUGGGCUAAUACCGGAUACGUCCGUAAUGCGAAAGAUUUUUCGCCAAACUACCGGCCCUCGUCCCAUUAGCUUGUUGGUGGGGUGAUGGGCAGCCCACGCCACAAUCGGUAGCUGGUCUGAUAAGAGCUUCACCCUCACUGGGACUGAAACCCGGCCCAGACUCCUACGGGACGCACUGGUGGUGAAUAUUGGACCAUGGGCCCACGCCUGGUCCAUCCGUGCAACGUGGGUGAUGAAGGCCUUACGGUUCUAAACGCCUUUCCGCGGGGAAUAUAACGUCUGUACCUGUAAACCAAUUCCCGGCUAACUUCAUGCCCCCCGCCGCUUUGAUACUACGGGGGCUAGAGUUGCUCGGAAUCACUGUGCGUAAAGCCCACGUAAGCGGGUCCUUGACUCAGGUGUGAAAUCCUGGAGCUCGACUCCGGAACUGCCUCUGAUACUGAGGAUCUCAAGUUCAUCAGAGGUGAGUGGAACUGCGCUUGUAGAGGUGAUGUUCUGCUAUAUUCGCAAAAACACCAGUGGCAUUGGCGGCUCACUGGCCCAAUACUGACACUGAGGUGCGAACAGCGUGUGGAGCAGACGGGAUUAGAUACCCYGGUAGUCCACGCSGMAAAACGAUGGAUGCCAGCCGUUGGCGGGUUUACCCGUCAGUGUCGCAGCUAACGCUUUAAGCAUCCCGCCUGGGGAGUACGGUCGCAAGAUUAAAACUCAAAGGAAUUGACGGGGGCCCGCACAAGCGGUGGAGCAUGUGGUUCAAUUUGAAGCAACGCGAAGAACCUUACCAGCCCUUGACAUCCCGGUCGCGGGAACGAGAGAUCGAUCCUUUCAGUUCGGCUGGACCGGAGACAGGUGCUGCAUGGCUGUCGUCAGCUCGUGUCGUGAGAUGUUGGGUUAAGUCCCGCAACGAGCGCAACCCUCGCCCUUAGUUGCCAUCAUUCAGUUGGGCCCUCUAAGGGGACUGCCGGUGAUAAGCCGCGAGGAAGGUGGGGAUGACGUCAAGUCCUCAUGGCCCUUACGGGCUGGGCUACACACGUGCUACAAUGGCGGUGACAAUGGGACGCAAUGGGGCAACCCUGCGCAAAUCUCAAAAAGCCGUCUCAGUUCGGAUUGUGCUCUGCAACUCGAGCACAUGAAGUUGGAAUCGCUAGUAAUCGCAGAUCAGCACGCUGCGGUGAAUACGUUCCCGGGCCUUGUACACACCGCCCGUCACACCAUGGGAGUUGGCUUUACCUGAAGACGGUGCGCUAACCGCAAGGAGGCAGCCGGCCACGGUAGGGUCCGUGAUUGGGGUGAAGUCGUAACAAGGUAACC
rnacentral:rRNA from 1 species